rnacentral:rRNA from 1 species
GAGCGUUGUUCGGAAUUACUGGGCGUAAAGAGUGUGUAGGCGGCGCUCUAAGUUCGGUGUGAAAUCUCUCGGCUUAACUGGGAGGGUGCGCCGGAAACUGGAGUGCUCGAACGUGGGAGAGGAAAGCGGAAUUCCUGGUGUAGCGGUGAAAUGCGUAGAUAUCGGAAGGAACAUCAGUGGCGAAAGCGGCUUCCUGGACCAGUACCGACGUUCAGGCACGAAAGCUAGGGGAGCAAACAGG